AUAAAGUUUGAUUCUUGCUUUGGACUUAAUUUUAUCAAUAAUUUCCAUGUAAGUUUUUGUGUGUAAAGUUUUUUUUAUAAAUGAUUAUUUAUUUAAUUCGCAGUACUUAAUUCUAUAUAAUUUACUUUUGUUUGAUAUUGUUAAUUGAUUAUUUAAGUGACUAAUUUUGUGCCCGCAUUCGCGGUUAUACAAUUACUUAUUAUUAAGUUUUUAUCUUUUAGUAUUUUUGUAAUUUUUGGAUUUUUAUUUUUUAUUUAUUUAGGUGAAAUUAUUUAUUGAUUAUUUUUUUCUUAUUUAUAUGAUUGUCUGAGAAAUUUUUUUUGUAAACUAGGAUUAGAUACCCUAUUAUUGAAAAUGUAAAUUUUUUAGGUUGAUUAUUGUUAGUUAUGAUCUUUAAAUUCAAAGAAUUUGGCGGUAAUUAAGUCUUUUUAGAGGAAUCUGUUUCGUAAUUGAUAAUCCACGAUUGAUUUUACUUUAUUUUCACUUGUAUAUCUCUGUCAUUGAAUGUAUUAUUAGGUAUUUAUUUUCUUUUUUUCUUUAUUAUUAGAUUAAUGUCAGGUCAAGGUGCAGUUUAUAUUAAAGUGAAUAUGGAUUACAUUGUUUUUAUUUUGGAUUUUGUUUUGUAAUUGAUUAAUUGAAAUUGGAUUUAAUAGUAAUUUUAAAUAGUAAUUUUAUUUUGAUUGGUUAGCUCUUAAUUAUGUACAUAUCGCCCGUCGCUCUCAUUAAUUUGAGAUAAGUCGUAACAAAGUAAUUUUACCGGAAGGUGAAGUUAGAAAGA
rnacentral:ncRNA from 1 species